GCCCCGGCUCCUGGCUUUUCAGGCCUCUUGCGCGUCGACCCCCAGCUCCCAAGACGGUUGCCUGCGGGACCAGGGCCCCCGUUGCCUGCGCGCCUACGCGGGCCUGGUGGGUACGCAUGGUUGGGAUCCGGGCGUCGGCCGGGGCUCUCCAGAAGAUGCCUCUGCCAGUGUGGGCCGAUGACCCCUCCUUUGGGAUCCCCCAGGCACCGCGAUCACCCCCAACUACGUGGACAACACGAGCGCGCGGGUGGCUCCCUGGUGCGACUGCAGAGCCAGCGGAAACCGGCAUGAGGAGUGCGAAGCCUUCCGGGGGCUCUUUACAAGGAACCGCUGCUUGGGUGAGGGGCAGGGAUGGCGCGAGAGCCCGGGUGACCGCCUGGCUGGCAGAGUCUCUUUUAGAGGGAAGGAAACUGAGGCUUCUUGAGGCAGCCACUCAAGCACAUUCCCUCCUCUGCUAUCUGUCAUCGUACCCCUGUGGGAAACGUGCCCCGCUGUCUCUGGAGACCAGGUCACAGAAUCCUAGUAGUGUCAAGGCAGAGGUCCCUAAGGUCGGGAGGGGGCAAGAGUUAAAACAAGUUGCUCAGGGCCUGGGAUUGACCAAGGGGAGACUUCUACUUCCAGCACUUCCGAUUCCUUUCUUAUGUGCUACCUCCCUCCUCUGGUGAGCUCCUCUCAUGGGGUCCUAAUGUCUUAAUGGUCUGAGAGUUAGGGAUCCUGAGUUUGAAACCUGACUCUGCCACUUUCUAGCUGAAAGUUUGUUAAUUCCUGUAAGCCUUUUUAUGUUCAUCUGUAAAAUGGGGGUAUAAUUGUCACCUCCUAUCGGGAUGGAAGACUAGUGAGUCACUCUGGGAACAGUCGUCCUUAUUUUGUUAUUCCUUAGCAUGCACCUCCCAUUUGUCCCAGAAGCCAUUCCUUGAAGAUGCCAGGGGAACUUGCUGUGCUUGGGGUUCCCAGUCAAGCUCACCCUGGACCCCUUCCUCCAUAGAUGGUGCCAUACAAUCCUUUGACAGCCAAUGGCCCCCAAUCCUGCAGGACCAGCUGGAUUCCCACCACAACCCUGGGCAGCGCCUCUUACAGGUAGGUGCAGUCAGUUCCUGCACUGCCGCUUUCUGAGAUUUCCCACCCAGACCUGCAGAGAUGGAAGCCUGAUUGGCUUGGGGAUGGGGUGCAGGUAGAAAGCAAUGCCAGGCUCCUAUCUCCAGUCCUCACUCUGCUCCAACUCCUAAGGUGUCCUCCGCUGACAGGCCCCUGGAAGGGAGCUCCUUGCAGUCCAUACUCCCUGUUCUGGCUCUCCAGUCCUUGCUCUAAGACAGCAGACCUUGGACCACAAGGUGACUACACAUUACUGCCUGGGGUUCAGGACCAUGUCUCUGGUUUAUUGCCCCCUGAAAAGUGACUGGCUAGCCCUCCCACCUGCCCUUUGCCCAUCUGGACACCUGUGUGCCCAUGCCCUGGAGUGAGGGUUGGAGACUGGGGGCCUGACAGCAAAAACCCUGGUUUUCUGUCAAUAGUCAUCUUGGUUGUAGGUCCCUUUCUUCAUAGACCUUGAGACAACUGGAUUCUCUCACUGGGGAGGCACAGGAGAGGGUCACCUUUGCAGAGGCCUCACUAGCAUCCCAAGAUUACCAUCUGGACUCCUGGAACUCUAAGAAACUGUGUCAGCCUCCCAGGCAGGUAGCACCCUAAGGAAUGCAUGGAAAUAGACUCCCUCUAGCACUGCAGCCUUUGAGGGCAUCCUCCCAGAUAGGCAAAAACUGCACCCCAGAACUAAUGUUGGCAGAGUGAUUCCUGUCCAUGAUAUGCUGCUUGGUGGGCACCCCCUGGAGUGAAAGAAUCCAGUCCCUACCCUGCCCCUGCUUUGAACUGGCACUUGGUCAUCCAUUUUCCCCCAUGGUUUCCCCAGCACUAGAAAUAGUGCUGUGCUCAAUAAACCCACAUGCACUGAGACUGACGUUGUUUUCA
rnacentral:lncRNA from 1 species